rnacentral:rRNA from 1 species
AACGAACGCUGGCGGCGCGCCUAAUACAUGCAAGUCGAGCGAGAAGACGUAGCAAUACGUUUGUAAAGCGGCGAACGGGUGAGGAAUACAUGGGUAACCUACCCUCGAGUGGGGAAUAACUAGCCGAAAGGUUAGCUAAUACCGCGUACGCUCCUUGGACUUCGGUUCAGGGAGGAAAGCGAUACCGUGGGUAUCGCGCUCUUGGAUGGGCUCAUGUCCUAUCAGCUUGUUGGUGAGGAACGGCUCACCAAGGCUUCGACGGGUAGCUGGUCUGAGAGGACGAUCAGCCACACUGGCACUGCGACACGGGCCAGACUCCUACGGGAGGCAGCAGUAAGGAAUAUUGCGCAAUGGGCGAAAGCCUGACGCAGCGACGCCGCGUGGGGGAGUGAAGGUC